rnacentral:snRNA from 1 species
GGAUGUGAGGGCCACCUGGCUGCAAUAUCUUUCACCCCAUUGGUUUGGCUGAUCUGGCUGGCUAGGCAGGUGUCCCGUUCCUCCCUCACCAUUCCAUGUGCAUUUCCCCCCCAACACCCACAAGCUGAGUCGGAGAGGAUGAUCACCCCCACUGGAGGAAGACUAUUCUUUUGUUAAGGGUGUAUGAGUAGCCACGAUCCCCUGGUAGAAACUCCAAACAAGCUCUCAAAAAAAUAGAACUCUCUUACACUGCUAAUGAGACUAUAAAAUCAUACAAAACGUUUUCUAAAACAAUGUGCUAGUUUCUUAGAAAGCUAAAUAUAU